ACUGUACUAUCUUGUCUGUGGUUCGAGGGUGAGAUUGUCACAGCAGUAUAGGGGGUACAUUCGAGAACCGUAAGACAAUUAAUAUAAA